UACGGGAGGCAGCAGUGGGGAAUCUUAGACAAUGGGCGCAAGCCUGAUCUAGCCAUGCCGCGUGAGUGACGAAGGCCUUAGGGUCGUAAAGCUCUUUCGCCAGAGAUGAUAAUGACAGUAUCUGGUAAAGAAACCCCGGCUAACUCCGUGCCAGCAGCCGCGGUA
rnacentral:rRNA from 1 species